rnacentral:lncRNA from 1 species
CCGGAACAUGUGCUUAAAUAUGUUAAAUCUCCAAAUCAAAAAUCAAAAGUAGUAUUGCAAGGUUCAUUGAUCACCUAGUACAAGAAAAAUCUAGCUUAACAUACUAGAAAUAAGAAAAUACAAAAAUAGUUGAAGAAACGUCAUCACCUGAAUCAAGUUUCAAUCAAUUCUUCAAUUGGCGCGAUGUUUUCCUCGUAUUCUUUCUUCAUUUUUUCCUUCAAAAUCUCUCUUUUUCUUCUAAAAAUGGCGUCCCCUUCAUUUUGGUCGAGUUGUUGUUUAUAUAGGACCCUAAAAAUCUUAUUUCCAUAAAAGUUUCGACGAAAUAAGGAAACCGCAGAUUCGGCCUCCGAAUUGCUCUAUGCGACCGCAUAGUACAUUUCUAUGCGAUCGCAUAGAGUAAAAAAUUUUGAGAAUUUAUUCUCGGGUGGUCUCUAUGCGCCUGCAUAGAGGGUAGCACUAUGCGGUCCAACUAUGCAAAAAAAUUCAUUUUGGUCCUUGAACUUUCGUUCUUCUUCAUUUUAGUCCCUUUGCAAUUCCUUCUUCUUCCAAUCAUCUUGUAUCGCGUUCGAUUUCAUACUUAGCAUGUUUGCAUUCCCGGGUUUCUUUUUAGUUCAACUUUGAAUAUUUGCAUCCUUAGUCCCUGAGCUAUCACUUUGCUCCAUUUUAGUCAUUUUUCUGCUCUUUUCUCCUGAAUUCUACCAUUUCCAUAGAAACACCUACAUUGCAUGAAUUCAACAAGAUUAAGUCACAAUUUAAAUAUUUUGCUCGUAAUUAAGUCAUGUUUGUGAUCUAAAUAAGUGUGCAAAAACACAUUAUCAAACCACCCAAACUUGAACUAUUAUUUGUCCUCAAACAGGAUAGUGACUUAAUUCUGAACAAACAUGACUUAAUACCCUGUCGUGGCUCAGGAUUGGACUAAGUAUUUGACUUUAUGAAAAUUUAUCAGUGCAAAAAUGACAUCAACCUUUACAUGUUAAAUGCAUGCUUGACGUGUAUGUGUGAAUUUAUGCCAAAAAAUAAAAUUCAUGAUGGAUUGAGUCUCGAUUCCAAGUGGUCAAAUGUAUCCUCACUCGCUCGAGAGAUACACAACCCCCUAAACUUAUUCUUUUCCCUCAAUUAUCCCAAGGUUGUGUUUUAAGAUUACAAAUUUACAUAGCUGUAGUUCUCACUCUCUCGUAGUUUGGAUUGAUCUCACUAUCACAAGUUUACAUUUCAACAAGUGACACCGCUCCCGAGUUUGAUUGCUUCGACACUCAAGGUUAAAAUAGGUUACUUGCCUCACCUCAAGGGUAUAGUUUCCUCAACCAGAUGUCUAAGGGCUUUUCUUCAUGUUUUUAUCUCUAUUUUGUUAUUCUCACUUUCAAUUUUUUUCUUUUAUAUCAUCUUCUUAUUUGCUUUCUAUAUAACCCAUGAAACGAGUUUUACGCCGGUGACUCCCAAACAAGUUGGCUUUAGGGCAUCAGGUUUUUAAACCCUUGCAGGCUUAUUCACUCGAGUUAUAAAGGCUUGAUCAGAUGACUUUUUAUUAACCUCUUUCCCUGUUACUUUCUAUAUGACCCCUUUUAGCGAGCUUUAGACCGGUGACUCCCAGACCCGUUGACUUUAGGGCACCAGAUUUUAAAAUAUCCUUACAGGCUUACUUGCUCGAGUCAUAAAGACAUGAAAAGAAGUGUCUUAUUCUCACGAUUUAAUUUUAUGCCCUUAUUAUUCUAGACAUUUAGUUUCCAAAACCAUGCCUCAAUUUAAGAUUUUCACCUAAUCUUCACCUCACCGGCUUAGGCAAUCCACACAAUAAAAUUUCAUGCAUGGAGCCCCUGCUCAUCUCAAUGCUCCCUAUAAUAGCUCAACCAAUUUCAAACUAUCAUGAGGUGAUUUACAUGUAAAUUAAAUAUAGGAUUAUCAUUCUUUUCCUACCUUAUGCUCAAAAUCCAGUCAUUCCCCUAAUAUGUCAAGCAUCAACAGUGUGCAUAGAUGAUGUCAAGUAUUUCAUCACAAGUAUUGGUUUAUCUAUUCAGCACUAUAUUCAAAAUUUAUGAAUUAUACCAAUCCAAUAACACAUCAUAACCGGAAAGGCUAUUAAGCCCACACAAGCAUGCGAAAGUAUAAUCAACACUCACUCAUCAAGCAUACAUUAUGCAACAAUUAGUCAAUAAUAAUGAUGGACUGUGAAAAUGCAAAAUAAUUAUAUGCCGACUAUUUUUUUUAAAUUAUGCCACCAUCCCCCAAACUUAUACAGUACAUUGUCCUCAAUGUAAGAAUUAAAGUUGAAAUGACAUAAUUUAAAAAGAAAAACAAGAACACAAAAUAGCAAAAUGAAGUAAACAAGACUCCCC